AUGCAUUCUAGUAGCGCACUCCCACCUCCCCCGAGUGAUAAUGAUUGGUAUUUUCCGGCCGAGAUCCGAAAAAAAAAAUCCGCCUCCAAGGCGAUGAUUGGUUCACCGCUUCCCGCAUCCCGCCUCAGGGUUGCCUCCUGGUACCUUCCCGUGUAGGAAAAUGAUUUUGUCCCGCGCAGACUCCCUCAGCACUUUCUGCACUCUGAAGCCCGAGAAUGUUCAGCAACAAACUUACUGAGAACAGAUGAAUGAGACCUUGCCUGUCCUAUAAGGAAUACAGUCAUCUGCCAGAAGAAAAAUGCUGAUUCUUCCCAGUCCAAAGGUGAAGAUGGUGACUGUGAAAGUAUCAGCUUUAGCCAGACCAUGGAUGAAGCUCUCAGAUGUCACAGCAUCCAUGGGCUUGUGAUCUCAGGUGAAGGCGUUGAACCCUGAGCCCUGGCUUCCCGUCUCUUCACUUGCUCCCUCCACCACCUCACCCCCACAUUCAGAAUGGCUUCUAGGUUUGUGUCUUUAAUGGCAUUUAGGCAAUAAAUAAAAAGUAUAGUUGCAGUGCUGACUGCGUCUUCCUUACAGCUUUCUGAAGUGAAUCGAUGUCUCUGGAAGGAGGAACAGAGUAGUGUGAGUGUGAAGGACUGGAUUCCUCUUGCUUUCUCCUGACGCCCAUUCCAGGGUUUCCCCAGGCAACUGGGAAGACCAUCCACGGUGAGGCCUGCAGUCUCGGCUUCUUGCUGAUCAGUCAGGGAGGAGCCCCGCCUCACAGGGAGGACAGACAGACUGCAGUCCGCGUCCCUGCACUGGGAAACAUCGUAUUCUCAGAGACCUAUUGCUCCACUAUUUUUUUUUUGUUUUGAGAUGGAGUCUCACUCUCACCUAGGCUGGAGUGCAGUGGCGUGAUCUUGGCUCA